UUAAGUUAUUAAGGGCGCACGGUGGAUGCCUUGGCACUAGAAGCCGAUGAAGGACGUUACUAACGACGAUAUGCUUUGGGGAGCUGUAAGUAAGCUUUGAUCCAGAGAUUUCCGAAUGGGGAAACCCAGCAUGAGUUAUGUCAUGUUAUCGAUAUGUGAAUACAUAGCAUAUCAGAAGGCACACCCGGAGAACUGAAACAUCUUAGUACCCGGAGGAAGAGAAAGAAAAUUCGAUUCCCUUAGUAGCGGCGAGCGAAACGGGAAGAGCCCAAACCAACAAGCUUGCUUGUUGGGGUUGUAGGACACUCUAUACGGAGUUACAAAGGACGACAUUAGACGAAUCAUCUGGAAAGAUGAAUCAAAGAAGGUAAUAAUCCUGUAGUCGAAAAUGUUGUCUCUCUUGAGUGGAUCCUGAGUACGACGGAGCACGUGAAAUUCCGUCGGAAUCUGGGAGGACCAUCUCCUAAGGCUAAAUACUCUCUAGUGACCGAUAGUGAACCAGUACCGUGAGGGAAAGGUGAAAAGCACCCCGGAAGGGGAGUGAAAUAGAACCUGAAACCGUGUGCUUACAAGUAGUCAGAGCCCGUUAAUGGGUGAUGGCGUGCCUUUUGUAGAAUGAACCGGCGAGUUACGAUUUGAUGCAAGGUUAAGCAGUAAAUGUGGAGCCGUAGCGAAAGCGAGUCUGAAUAGGGCGUUUAGUAUUUGGUCGUAGACCCGAAACCAGGUGAUCUACCCUUGGUCAGGUUGAAGUUCAGGUAACACUGAAUGGAGGACCGAACCGACUUACGUUGAAAAGUGAGCGGAUGAACUGAGGGUAGCGGAGAAAUUCCAAUCGAACCUGGAGAUAGCUGGUUCUCUCCGAAAUAGCUUUAGGGCUAGCCUCAAGUGAUGAUUAUUGGAGGUAGAGCACUGUUUGGACGAGGGGCCCCUCUCGGGUUACCGAAUUCAGACAAACUCCGAAUGCCAAUUAAUUUAACUUGGGAGUCAGAACAUGGGUGAUAAGGUCCGUGUUCGAAAGGGAAACAGCCCAGACCACCAGCUAAGGUCCCAAAAUAUAUGUUAAGUGGAAAAGGAUGUGGCGUUGCCCAGACAACUAGGAUGUUGGCUUAGAAGCAGCCAUCAUUUAAAGAGUGCGUAAUAGCUCACUAGUCGAGUGACACUGCGCCGAAAAUGUACCGGGGCUAAACAUAUUACCGAAGCUGUGGAUUGUCCUUUGGACAAUGGUAGGAGAGCGUUCUAAGGGCGUUGAAGCAUGAUCGUAAGGACAUGUGGAGCGCUUAGAAGUGAGAAUGCCGGUGUGAGUAGCGAAAGACGGGUGAGAAUCCCGUCCACCGAUUGACUAAGGUUUCCAGAGGAAGGCUCGUCCGCUCUGGGUUAGUCGGGUCCUAAGCUGAGGCCGACAGGCGUAGGCGAUGGAUAACAGGUUGAUAUUCCUGUACCACCUAUAAUCGUUUUAAUCGAUGGGGGGACGCAGUAGGAUAGGCGAAGCGUGCGAUUGGAUUGCACGUCUAAGCAGUAAGGCUGAGUAUUAGGCAAAUCCGGUACUCGUUAAGGCUGAGCUGUGAUGGGGAGAAGACAU
rnacentral:rRNA from 1 species